rnacentral:rRNA from 1 species
UACGUAGGUGGCAAGCGUUGGCCGGAUUUAUUGGGCUUAAAGGGUGCGUAGGCGGCCCUGUAAGUCAGUGCUGAAAUAUCCCGGCUUAACCGGGAGGGUGGCAUUGAUACUGCGGGGCUAGAGUACAGAUGAGGUAGGCGGAAUUGACGGUGUAGCGGUGAAAUGCUUAGAUAUCGUCAAGAACACCUAUAGCGAAGGCAGCUUACUAGGCUGUAACUGACGCUGAGGCACGAAAGUGUGGGGAUCAAACAGG